CCAGCCGGGCCUGGGAAGCGGCGCGGAGGCGGCUCCGGCCCUGCCCGGCGCGCGGCCCCCCGAGCUCGGGUUGGGGAGCGGGGGAGGGGGAGGGGGCGGCCGCGCGCAGGGCUUCCAAGCCCGAGGCCAGGCUGGAUAACGGGACCCGGAGGCCGAAAGCGGAGCUGGCCGACCUGGUGCGGGGAGUUGGAGGGGCGAGGCCGGCGGGUAACGGGCUCCAAGGGGCAAGCCGCCAAGGCCCGGGUGCGGGGAUCUCAGGGGUACACGCUGCCUCCUGGGGGAGGUGGGGAGUCGGGGCUGCAGUGCAGUGCGCAGGGGUUCCUCCUUCUGCGGGUGAGGCUGCUCUGGGACAGCCCGGGUUCAGGGUGUGAUGAAGGGCGGCGCACUGGGGAGGCUGCCCCGCACCUGCGAGAGCGCGAGGGGUGGGGACUGUGGUCUCAGAGUUAAUCAGGAGGUUUCGGAAGAAUUCUUUUUUUUUUUCAACUGUCUUCUACCAGGACUUUCUGAUUUUCCUGGUUCCCGAAUCCCCACAUCUCGACAACACAGCUCCAUCCCCAUCCCCGAGAACCUCGAUCUUUGACCCGCCAGUAGGGGGUCGGAACCGUAUACAGCGAGUGCAUUAGUGUCCACGCACAUCUGUCUGUGGAAUGUGUGCAUCCGCAUGUCCCGAGGGGCUACUGUGUCUCUAGGAUGGGAGUGAGUGUGUGCCCUGUGUGUUAGUGCUGACUCCAUCAGAACUUCUGGUCCCUCCUCCUCCCUCCCUGAUUGCAUCAUUAGUGCUAAUUGAGGGGCUUUCACACGCCAGUGCAUUAGCUGUUUGGAGUGAGCUCCCCCCUCCUGCGAGAUAAGCUGCCGCCCCUCCCCCUCGUGGCUCUCCACUUCCCUAGGGCACUGAAACUGUCCACCGAGGUCGUCUCACUUCCUCAGGCUCCCUCCUGCUUUGCUCUGGGCAGGAAAAAGUUAUCUCUCUUCCUGCAGUGCCGUGGAUUCGGCUGGAGCGACGGCAUAUGGGGUAAAAUUUAGGGGCUGGAGAAAGAAUCCAGAGCCGCCUUUCUGAGGGGCUUUCUAGGAAGGAGGGGUUUUCCCUCAAGAGGUCUCCUGUUCCUAUCCAACGCAGGGAGGAACUCUGUGACAGGGAAUAAAACUUGCGGCUAGCUCUUUUGGAAGUUCAGCCUGUGAUCGCACUGAGGUAGGCCUUCUGGCUCUGACUGACUUCUUGGUCCCCUAAAACUCAGAAAGUGGGGACCAUGCUGAGUUAUUCGUCAUGGGAAAGGCAGGUUGAAGGAGGCCAUGAUUCCCCCUGAGAGAUUUGGGUGGGUUUGAUGGAGUGUGCGCUAUAGGUCUGUUCCUGUUUAAGCUGCCCCGCCCAGCUCUGGCCCAUAGCUGCUGGGAGGUUGGGGAGGGGGCUGUCUGAGCAGAUGCCCUCCCCAGCCCUCACACCAGAUGUCUUUGGUCUAAUUAACUGUGCUGGGAAAACCAACCUGGGUUUGUAAACAUAGCUACUGGCUAAAGUCAACAGGGAACAGGAGCAAACAGUCCCCUUCACUGAGCCUCAUCUAGACCCAGCACCCCAGGGAAGGGAGCUGGGGGGGGGGAUCAGAAAUGCCCUGGCCCACAGAUGAGUCAAAGAAAGACUGUCUGCCUGGGUGACCCCAACGUGACUACUAUUCCCUUGCUAGUUCUACAGUGUCUACUCAAGAAGUGUGAGGACCAGCUAGCUACCAUGCCCAGGAGAGGUUUGACUUCUGGCGGUUUCACCUCUGAUGGCUGCACAACCAAACACUGUGUAUGUGUGUGGCAUAUUUCUUGAAAAGCUUUCUUCAGAUCCUCUGCAUGUUCAUGUCUCGGAGAAGCGUCCGUGGGGAAGGAUUUGGCAUCGUGAGUGUACAGCUCAGAGUUGGUGAAUAGAAUGUGAACAUUGUUAACUUCAUUACACAUCAUGUAGGUAUUAUAAUAACAUGUUCUGAAAUUAGAUAAUUAUUCCUGUGAUAUCUCUGCCAAGCUUUGGUGUUUCUGUUAUGGUUUGAAAGUUCAGUGCACAACAGGGCCAGAGAAAUAGGCACCAGUGUUCGCCUGGUGCCUACCCAGAACCCCGAAAGCAGGGUCCUCAUGUAGAGAAACAGCGACCCUUCAGUUGUAUUGACUCACAUUUACUGUUUCCCUCAGCCCCCAGGGAGACACAUAGACAUCAAGACAUGCAUGCUCAGCCACAGAAAUAGGAUUUUUGCUCCUAAAAGGAAGAGAUCAAAGCUUUGAACCAAUUAGAGUUUCUGAAUUGACAGACUUUAACCAAUUUUUGAUUGUUUGCCUGUCUGUGUGUGUGUGUGUGUGUGUGUGUGUGUGUGUGUGUGCCACCCAGGAAGAGGAGUUGUUUCAAAGAAUUGGAAAACAGAAACACUAUGCAAUCCUGCUGUUUCCUCAUUUUUAUUUGCCCAGCCACUCAAAAACAGGCUAGGCAGGGCCCAUAUCACAGCCUGGGCCUCACAGGCCUGUGUCCAGCUCAGGGCCCACACCACAGCCUGGGCCUCAAAGGCCUGUGUCCGGCUCAGGGCCCACACCACAGCCUGGGCCUCACAGGCCUGUGUCCAGCUCAGGGCCCACACCAUAGCCUGGGCCUCACGGGUCAGUGUCCAGCUCAGCCCUGGUUCUGUUUUCUCAACAGCUUUCAGACAGCAGCAUCUUCUUGAUCCCACUCUUUACCAGACUCCUCACCACACACAAGAGCCUUCAGACCAGCAUUAGCUCAACAAGGCUUCAUGCUUUAGACUUGCUAUGUUUUCUUUCUUUCCUCCUUUUCCCCCAAUUCCACACACUAGUCAGACACCAGUGCUUGGGAAGGAAGCAGCUGGCCUAGACUCUAAAAGGUCACCUUUUCUGGGAAAUAGUUCAUCGGUAAUUUCUUUCUUCAGGACAUCACAUCCUCCCAGCUUGCCCGUGUUGAAGAACUCCGUUUCUUUCAACCCAGGUCGCUAAUGCCUCUGUUGGAGAAUUGUUUUCCUCUCAAAACAACCAGGGGAUGAGCUGAACUGGUAACUCAGGCUUCCAUGGGCUUCCGGUAGCCCUCUAUGCAGCCUGGCACCCCAACUUUCCACCAGCCGGAAGAAAGCUACACUCCUCAGCCUGAGGCAGGUGCUUUCUUCCAGGCCAUCUUCUACCUUCCUGAAGUGCCUUCUCCUGGUCCUUUGGUCCCUUCCUUUGUCUCAGCUGCAUGUGCAAGAUUUUAUAGAAAGUAAAGACAAUCCUUCCAUUACCAGGGUAUGCAGGGCCCUGGAGGAUGUAUUGUUGGAAUUCUGUGGCUUUCUUUCCUUUAAGAAUGUACAGAAUCCCUUGCUCAGGUCUAGGAAAGGCUGCGUAAAGAACUCUGGAUUUGGAGUAAUGUCCCAGUUGACAUUCCGUAGACAAGGUAGUCAACCCUUCUCUGUAUUAUGGUAAGUCCUCAGUAUGUGUAAUUAUAUAAUUAAUUAUAGCAAACAGACAUGUUUGCUGUGCUAGACAAUGUGCUUGUCUGCGAUUCUUCUUCAAGGCCGAAGCAACUUUGGCUCCGUUACCCCUGGUUUUCCACGGGAGAAAUCCCUCGGCCUUCCAGGCUCCCUUUGAGUUGGAGUAUUGUCUUUCCCCGGAAUCAGCAGAGCGGCAAGCAGUUCAUCAGACUGACUCUCCUGUACACUGCAAUGGUUGCCAGAAGGCCUGGACCCAGCCUUCUGAUACCACAGUAACCAAGAGUCCCAGCCUCAGCUAUGUCCUUCUUGGAGCCAGGUCCUCAGGGAGCGGGACUGAUUUCGAAAGGAUGGAGGGUGAGGUGGCCACAGCCUGCUUCCUUCACCCGGUGUCCACCUCCCUGAGUGAAGAAGUGAAGCUCACCUUUCCAAGCUACAGAAACAAAACGAAAUAGCAACAAAAACAAAAACAGACAAUGACAGGUUUCUUACACACAGGACAUAGAGGAGCCCCACAUCAGAGUCCCCAAGGUUAUGGGAGAUGGGGAUGGGGAAAUGAGAAAGCCUGAAUAGAGAUGAUUAAGGGGCAGAAACAUGGACAGCUAAAGGCCUGGAAUCUCAAGAGAGGUAGUCAGACAAAGAUGGAGAAAGCUGUGCUCAGGGGACCCCAGCUUUCUGGACACAGCUUUGCUUCCUUGAGUGGGACUCUGCCUGGAAACUCGAGCCCCUCAGCUCCUUAACUAUGUCAGGAAACAAGUCUCCCUCUCAAACCAGGAACCAGAAUGUUCUGAGGGCUCCUGGUGCUCCCACAGCUUGGCCUGUUUAUGCUGUUUCCCCAGCAGGCACCAGACCCUGUGAUGGAGUAGCUCCCCACGCCAGCUCUUGCCAAGGCCUGCUCUAGCCAGCUGCUCCUUCCAGCUCAGCUGCAGCCACAGCUCAGGACGCCUGGUCAUUGCUGAGAAUUAAGAACAACGGGAUGGCCCUGCAUUGUGAACAUCUACUUGGAAUAAUGAAGUCUCCAUCCUGUGGCAUUUCUUGUUUUGUUUUCUGUCUUUUGAGACAGGUCUUGCCUCGUAGUCCAGACUUGCCUGGAACUUGCUAAGUAUAGCUAAGACUGGUCUUAAAUUUACCAACCCCUUGCCUCUGCUUCCCAAGUGAUGCGCAUACAGGUGUGUGCCGCCACACAAUCAGCCAGGCUUGACAUAUGCUUUUUUAAAAAUAUUUUUAUAUGUGGGGUGGUGGCGAUGGUGCGUGUGUGUGUGUGUGAAAAUGUGGGGGUGUAUUGCUACAGUGCAUGUGUAAAUGUCAGAGAAUGUCAGUCCUUGUCUAUCUUGUAUGAGACAGGGUCUGUGUGCUCUGCAAGCUACCUGGCCAGUGUGCUCCCUGGCAUUCUCCUGGCCCAGCCUCCCAUCUCCUGGUAGGAGCUCUGGCAUUACAGAAGCACUUCUUGGUCAGGCCCUUGGCCCAGAGACUUGGUCCUGGGGACUUAGACUUAGCUUCUCAUACUUGCUCUACAAAGGCCUUCCUUGAAGACUCAUCUCUCCAGCCCCAAAUGUCCUUGAUGAGAAAGGAAGCACCUGGGGCCUGCCCCAGUGCUGGAGCUGUCUUGCUGCUUUGUGGUUUGGUAAGAGUACUCUCAAAAGGGGGGCGGGGGGCUGAGAUCUUUGCACUCUCAGGCCCUUGGCCCAGAGCUUCCCAGAAAGGGUGGGCUCCUCUGUACCCCACCUCCAGGGUCAUCACAUCAGAAUGGCCUCCUCUGGCUCCCUGGCCAUACCCUAGUUUAUGUUCUCAAGACACCAGUUUUUGAAACGAUCUUGCUAUAUCGGUCAUAGCUCUGCUCUUCUGCCUUCUGCCUCUCCUCAAAGGAGUACAAGCAGCAUGAAGGAAAACAACUACCAAACCUCCAACCAGCCUCUUUAUUGACUCAGCCUGGAUCCCUGCAACUGUGACCUGUGGUUGUUCGUAGUUCAGCUGAGUGGUGCCCCAUUCCCUCAGGGCUCCACUCUGUGACUUUAAGGUGACAAUCAGUUAAUCCAAUAUCAGAAUCCUGCUA